rnacentral:lncRNA from 1 species
AUGUUGGAAGUGUUUUCUUUUAUUUACGCUCCCUCCCCCUAACAGAUUAAACAAGUCCAUGUUGUAUACAAAUGAUAUUUUACCAAGGCAUAUUUAUGUUGGAAGUGUUUUUUUUUCUUUACGCUCCCUCUCCCUAACAGAUUAAACAAGUCCAUGUUGUAUACAAAUGAUAUUUUACCAAGGCAUAUUUAGUUGGAAUGUUUUCUUUUAUUUACGCCUCCUCUCCCUAACAGAUUAAAAAGUCCAUGUUUAUACAAAUGAUAUGCUGUUACCAAGGCAUGUUUUAUGUUGGAAGUGUUUUCUUUUAUUUACGACCCCUCUCACCUAACGAGAUUAAACAAGUUCAUGUUGUAUACAAAUGAAUUUGACAAGCCAAUUUAUUUGGAAGUGUUUUCUUUAUUUACGCUCCCUCUCACCUAACAGAUUAAAACAAGCCAUGUUGUAACCAAAUGAUAUUUUACCAAGGCAUAUUUAUGUUGGAAGUGUUUUUCUUUU